UGCCGGCGACCGGCGCACGGGUGAGUAACACGUAUGCGACCUGCCCCCCGCAGGGGGAUAACCGGGAGAAAUCCCGACUAAUACCGCGUAACGCCGCGGACCUGCAUGGGUCUGCGGCCAAAGGAAGCGAUUCCGCGGGGAUGGGCAUGCGGCGCAUUAGCUAGUCGGCGGGGUAACGGCCCACCGAGGCGACGAUGCGUAGGGGUUCUGAGAGGAAGGUCCCCCACACUGGUACUGAGACACGGACCAGACUCCUACGGAAGGCAGCAG
rnacentral:rRNA from 1 species